CAUUUUAGGACCAAUCCCUCCUGACUGUAGAGAAUCAUUCACACGCGUUUUAUUUAGCAAGUCUCUCGCCUCGGUAAUUAACAACAAUGAUUACGAUGGAUUUUAUUUCUCAGUGGUGUGGCCUUUGAGAAUGGCCUGACUGAGUAUGUCCUCUGGCUUCUAUGUGUGAUCAGCUAUCCUGUUCUACCACGUGGCUGUUGGUUUGGGCAGUCAGUUGGUGGUCCAGCCUAUUGUCAAUCUGUUAGUCGAUCAAUUAAUCACUCAUUCAUCCAGGCAGGUCAUUAGCCCACUCCCCUCUGAGGUCCAUCUCAUCAUGGACCUUGGGGCUGCCUUCAUGGGGGUCCACUGGCCCUAAACGGCUUGGCAAAGCUGUCUGAGUACAAAUGCUGCCAGUUUCAGCAAGACACGUCCCAUUGAAUGUGGCAGCUGCUCCCUUGGUCCCAGCUGCCCUCAGUGUGGGGGCCUUCCUGGAUCCAGGAACUUGCCAGGAAGCCAGGGCAGGCAUGCUUUUCUCUGCUGUUUGCAUCCCAUCUAGCACAAGGAUAGGACUUGCAAACUCAUUGCUGCAGGAUCCCCUCUCUGUGUUUAGGGGAGAGCUCUUAACAAUCUGUUGACUCUCGUCUAGGUUAUACAGUGUGCGGGCUGUCGAUCACAGGAUUUGGCAUCAGGAAGACCCGAGUUCAAAUACGGCCUCUGAUACUUGCUAACUGUGUUACCUUGGAGGGUGUCAUGUGCUGAACCUAUCAUGUCUGGCCCUGGGUCAGGAGGGAUGACAGAGUGUCCCAGAAUCCAUCCUCUUUGUGGUGCAGAUCUAGCCAGUCUCCUUGUGGUCAGUCCACAAACUGACCCCAUCGCCAACCAGUCGUCAUGGCAGUCAGAUUGGUGGCAUCCUUCAGGAGGAGGAGGAGGAGGAGGAGGAGGAGG